AACAUAGAAGUAAGAAUUACAUUUAGUUUCGACCUAAAAUUAAGGGAAGGCCCCUCAUGUUU
rnacentral:tRNA from 1 species